AUUGAACGCUAGCGGCAUGCUUUACACAUGCAAGUCGAACGGUAACAGCACUUCGGUGGCUGACGAGUGGCGAACGGGUGAGUAAUACAUCGGAACGUGCCUAGUAGUGGGGGAUAACUACUCGAAAGAGUAGCUAAUACCGCAUGAGAUCUAAGGAUGAAAGCAGGGGACCUUCGGGCCUUGCGCUACUAGAGCGGCUGAUGGCAGAUUAGGUAGUUGGUGGGAUAAAAGCUUACCAAGCCGACGAUCUGUAGCUGGUCUGAGAGGACGACCAGCCACACUGGGACUGAGACACGGCCCAGACUCCUACGGGAGGCAGCAGUGGGGAAUUUUGGACAAUGGGCGCAAGCCUGAUCCAGCAAUGCCGCGUGCAGGAUGAAGGCCUUCGGGUUGUAAACUGCUUUUGUACGGAACGAAAAGCCCUCUUCUAAUACAGGAGGGUCAUGACGGUACCGUAAGAAUAAGCACCGGCUAACUACGUG
rnacentral:rRNA from 1 species